rnacentral:tRNA from 1 species
GCCGAAGUGGUGGAACUGGUAGACGCGCUGGACUCAAAAUCCAGUGGCCGCAAGGCCGUGAGGGUUCGAGUCCCUCCUUCGGCACCA